UGUGUGUAGAUAUUAACAUUUUAAUGACCACAUAUUCACUUAGGAUCUCACUUCGUAAAGGCCACAGGACUGAAAUUGAAUGAAUGCAACAACCAUGUCUCUGUCACCUGCAAACACAGUCAUAGGUGGUACUGGUAACAAAAAUUCACCCUGGGAAUUAUGCAAAUAAGACUUAAAACCCUACAGCAGGACUAUUCAAUUCCGGUCUGGAGGGCCAAAACAUUUAUGGUUUUGGAAGAACUAUUUAUGGUUCUUCAGAGACACUAAAAUGGUUCCCCUAUGGCAUCACUCUCAAUAACCAUAUUUGGUUCCAUCUUGCACCUUUAUUUUUAAGAAUGUAUUAUGUAUAUCAAUAAUGGGUAGACCCCUCUCCCUCUCUGUCUCAGCGGGAUGUAAGCUAUGGGCCCCUAUCCCUCUCUGUGUCUCUCAGUGAGACAGAAAGUAGGCUGGGGGCCCAGGGCCCUGAGUGUCUGUGUUCUAAUUGCUGUUCUGGCGAUCCAGUGAGGAGGGCCAGCCAGUACCGAGGGGAGGGCUGUUCCUUUACCACACUGAUUUAUUGGACAAUUUCACAGCAGUGUCUGCAGUAAUGGGACAGGAUAAAUGGCUGACCCCUCUCUGACUGAGAUAACUCCAGGGGAAGAGGAGAGCAUGCUGGCCUGCCUCCCCACUUGGUGUGUGUGUGGCAACUUUCCUUCCCUACUCUGUCUAUAUAACCCCCACUAAUUCUCCAUCUCUCCUUUCUUUAUCCCUCCCCUACUAUCCUAUCAUGAGCAAUUUGCUCCCACCCCAUGUCAUCCUCUCUAUCUUCCUCUCUCUAUCCCUCCGUGUGUGUGUGUCUUUCUUUCACUCUCCACAGUCCACUAUCACUCGGUAUUUAUCUAUUUUCUCCCUCCUGUCGGUCCUUUCUUUCUCUCCCCCUUCUCUCCCCCCUGCUGCCCACCCCUUUAUUCAACCCUUCCUCCUGGGCGUGUGCGUGAGUGUGUGCGUGCAUGUGUGGGGUGAUCCCAAGCCUUUUAUGGCUUGACCUGUAUGGGGGCAGGUAGAUUGCAGGUUGCACUACACAUUUCCAUAUCUGUCUGUUCUCUGUCCAUCUGUCCUAUGCUCUGCUGUGAACAGGCGAUGUCUGGCCGCCUCUCAACAGGUCCUUCACUCCGUGUGAACAGGCGAUGUCUGGCCGCCUCUCAACAGGUCCUUCACUCCAUGUGAACAGGUGAUGGCUGGCUGCCUCUCAACAGGUCCUUCACUCCGUGUGAACAGGCAAUGUCUGGCCGCCUCUCAACAGGUCCUUCACUCUGUGUGAACAGGAGGUGUCUGGCCGCCUCUCAACAGGUCCUUCACUCCGUGUGAACAGGAGAUGUCUGGCUGCCUCUCAACAGGUCCUUCACUCCAUGUGAACAGGAGAUGUCUGGCCGCCUCUCAACAGGUCCUUCACUCCGUGUGAACAGGAGAUGUCUGGCUGCCUCUCAACAGGUCCUUCACUCCGUGUGAACAGGAGAUGUCUGGCCGCCUCUCAACAGGUCCUUCACUCCGUGUGAACAGGAGAUGUCUGGCUGCCUCUCAACAGGUCCUUCACUCCGUGUGAACAGGAGAUGUCUGGCCGCCUCUCAACAGGUCCUUCACUCCGUGUGAACAGGAGAUGUCUGGCUGUCUCUUAACAGGUCCUUCACUCCGUGUGAACAGGAGAUGUCUGGCUGCCUCUCAACAGGUCCUUCACUCCGUGUGAACAGGCGUUGUCUGGCCGCCUCUCAACGGGCAUUUACACUUGGGGUAGUGAAGUGCAGUCUGGGAGGAAGGAAACAUGCUCUCACUCCUUAUCUCCCUCUCUUCAUCCCCACCCCUCUCUCUUUCAGUUUUAAUUUACCUCUCAUUUUCUCCCUCCCUCCCUCGUCUCUCCUCCUCUCUCUCUUUUCCUCACUUCAUCUCCCUCUCUUUCUCUCACUUUAGCCUCUCUCCCCCUCCCCUCCCCUUCCCUCUCUCUGUCUUUUGGCCCAGUGGUUAAUGGGAAUCAAAUGGCAUCUCCCGUGGCGUGCGUCAGACUAGCGGGCCGUGAGUGAGGGGCGGUGGGUAGGGGAGUGCCUGUCUGCUUGUGUCUCCACCACGGGACGCCCACGGCAACAGAUGACCCAUCACUGCAGAGACAGAGCCAUGGCAACACAUCUUAUUAGACCAACAGGGACCAUCUGAUAGAGCUAUUAGUGUAGGAAUGACAGGGUAAGGGCCGUUCUGAGCUCUUUAUCUGUUGUGGCUCCAACAUGGAGGACUGCUGUGCUGAGGAAGUGGUUGUCAUGCUGUGGGAACUGGGAUGGUCUGGCACUGACUUAACCUACUUAAACUUACUUUACAGUCAACAACCUUAUUGUACUAAAUUAUUAGAGGCCAAAUGAGAUAAUAGAUACUGUGUUAAAGUUAGGAUAUAUUGAUAUGUGUAAAGGAUGUGACUUUAGAGAGGGGGGUUCAACAGUGAUGAUAACUUGUGGUCAUUUUUUGAAAAACUCCUCUGGCCUCUGCCAGUAUGUAACCUUUGACCCUCCUCCCCAGUCCACACUGCAUCUGCCAGCCUUACAAAGCCACACAAAUAUCCCACACAUCACAUGUCUCUGCAUGGGGACCAGCAGAUAGCUGCUUAUCUACAUCACGUGUCUCUGCAUGGGGACCAGCAGAUAGCUGCUUAUCUACAUCACGUGUCUCUGCAUGGGGACCAGCAGAUAGCUGCUUAUCUACAUCACGUGUCUCUGCAUGGGGACCAGCAGAUAGCUGCUUAUCUACAUCACAUGUCUCUGCAUGGGGACCAGCAGAUAGCUGCUUAUCUACAUCACGUGUCUCUGCAUGGGGACCAGCAGAUAGCUGCUUAUCUACAUCACGUGUCUCUGCAUGGGGACCAGCAGAUAGCUGCUUAUCUUCACUGUUGUGUAAGGGGCUGAAGUCUCCUCUCCCAAAG
rnacentral:lncRNA from 1 species